rnacentral:lncRNA from 1 species
CCGCGCCCGGCCAGAUUUCAAUAUUUUUAUUUAAAGCACACAUAUUUUGCUCUGGCCAGAAUGGAAAAUGUUAAUUUGGUUACCCCAUGCCACCCCCUGGGUAGCAUCUUGCAAAAGUAAGAGGAUUUUGCUUGUGGUUCUGUGAUUUUCCAUUGUGAUGCAGCUUGCCUCUCAGUGGUUGCUAGGGCCACUCAGGGAAGAGGAACUCCAAAACCUGACAUGUUGGCAAAAAGAGACAUGGAUGAAACUGAAGACCAUUAUCUUAAGUGAAACAACUCAGACAAAUAUCAUGUGGAAACUCACUGGGCUGAUGAAUGCAGUCUUCCUGAUGUGAAUGGGAUUGAAGAGCUUGUCAAAAAACAUAAAGCCAACUUCACCCUUGUCACUGAACUGAGACUUUUCAACCAAACCUGUUACACAGAAAAGAAAAUACCGAAAGAAUAUUCAUCAAUCUGUAAAUAGUGAUUAUCUGUGGGGUAUGUGUGGAAAAUUAUAGGAGACUUAAAUAUUCUACAUGAUAGAUUUUUAUAAUAGUUUAUUUUUAUAAUUAGUGUGUUAUGUUUGUAAUUAUAAAUCAACAACAGCAAAAUAUAAUUUAAAGGCUCAGAGUUUUAAUAAAAUAUUUAGAAUUGGAUAAAUUCAUCUAUGUGGCUUUAAAAGUAAAGUUUAAGAUCUCUGUUGGUUAUUUGGCCCUCUGGUUCUAAUCUUUCCAUUUUGGUAAUAUGUCCUGUAAAGAUUAAUCUCUUUCAUUUUCACAACACAUAUUUGUUAAGCACUUACACUAUUCCAGACACUGUUCCAGGUAUUGAGAUUGCAAGAGAUGAUUCUUGACAUGCUAGAAUAGUGCUUCAAUAUGGGAGAUAGGAAAAAAAGAAUUAAAAUGUCGUGCAUAAUUAUGUUAGGGGAAUCUUGGGAAUAGUACUUAGGAAAAUCUUGCAGACAAUUCUUGGGAAAACUACCCACUAUUGCCCAGGGUGUCAAGCAUAGCUUUCUAGCAGAAAGG